GAUGAACGCUGGCGGCGUGCUUAACACAUGCAAGUCGAACGAAGCACUUUAUUUGAUUUCCUUCGGGACUGAUUAUUUUGUGACUGAGUGGCGGACGGGUGAGUAACGCGUGGGUAACCUGCCUUGUACAGGGGGAUAACAGUUGGAAACGGCUGCUAAUACCGCAUAAGCGCACGGCAUCGCAUGAUGCAGUGUGAAAAACUCCGGUGGUAUAAGAUGGACCCGCGUUGGAUUAGCUAGUUGGUGAGGUAACGGCCCACCAAGGCGACGAUCCAUAGCCGACCUGAGAGGGUGACCGGCCACAUUGGGACUGAGACACAGCCCGAACUCCUACGGGAGGCAGCAGUGGGGAAUAUUGCACAAUGGGCGAAAGCCUGAUGCAGCGACGCCGCGUGAGCGAAGAAGUAUUUCGGUAUGUAAAGCUCUAUCAGCAGGGAAGAUAAUGACGGUACCUGACGAAGAAGCACCGGCUAAAUACGUG
rnacentral:rRNA from 1 species